UGUGAUCUUUAUGUGGUGAUUGCUGUCC
rnacentral:piRNA from 1 species